UGCAAAUAACAUUCGAGAGGCCAGAGUGACGACUGACAAUUCAGUUUGCUGUGAAUUGAUUUGUGCUGUCUGGAAAGAAAGGAGCAAAAGGUCUUUAGUUUCUUUCUUGCAGAUUCGCAGAAAGAAAAUCUUGGGUCAAAGCAGCAUCUGCGGAUGAAGGACAGAGCGCUUCAGAGAAACGCUGGCUCUUUGUUGAAAAACAGCCGUGCAGGCACGCCGUUUUACCUCGGGAUGCAACGCGAGCUGCAGAUAUGAAGAUGCAUUGAUGUGGAGCCAUCGAUCCACCAAACCAGCCAAGCGUGGGUCAAUAUCUCUCAGCAACGAUGUCUUGUCCAUUCAUCUGAAAACAUAGAUCGAGACACUGAUCUCUUAAGAAGUAUGGAGACGCAAACCGUUGGAGUACCGGACACGGUCGCUGUAAUCUCUCGUUUGCCGUAGCGUCCCUGGAACUGCUGUGCAGCUAAACUCCAAAGACGUGCAAAAGCAAAAAAGCCAUGUUUUAUCGUAAUCUGUGAAAAGACCGUGCAAAUGGUUUGAUCGUCAGCAGGGGAGUUAUGUGCUUUCAAAAACCUGAAGGGAAUAAGGGGAUAUGUUGGUUUUUUUAAAUCACUGUACUUUGCUUUGCAUAAUGGAUUUUUGUUCUGAAAGCUUUCCAUUUGGAAUUACUUAUAAAGAUUUAAUGAGCAUUAAUCUAAUCGGCAUGAGAAGUCUUCAAGCUGCCGAUAAGAUGCGAAGUAUACACUUGAAUCUGCUGCAGCGACCAUGAAAGUCACAUUUCGUCGGUCUAGGAAUUAAAAAAAAAAAGCCUUAAAUUAUUUUUGGUCCACACACUCUUAAAAAUAAAAGUUCUUUGUUAGAAUCAGUGGUUAUAGUAAUAUGUCCUUAAAUGUAUGGUUCUUUCAGGAACCUUUCCCUUGAAGUUCCUUUGGCAGAAAAAUUGAUCUUUUAUUGCAAUGGCUGUGAAAAAAAUGUGUAUUUUUAAAAGUGCCUGAUGAGAGAAGUUGUUACUAAACUGUUCAAAUCUGCUUAAACGUUCGUGGAGCAUCACGUCUGCAGUAUAUUAUUUCGUUUUAAAUCAGAUUACUCCAAAAGAUGCUUGGAUAUUUUUCCGUCUUUGUGGACUAAUAGGCAUGUUUUACCGUAAGCCAGUUAUCUUUUGCUGAGUGAAUUCUAAAGAUCUGUGAUACCAGAGAUGUUGGGACGCUUUUUAAAUUUGGAUAUAAUGAAAACUAAGAGAAUUUUGAAUCCCACGAGCCAGCUGAGCGGUUUGUGCCAAAAGAUCUGGACCGCAGGCAGGACUCUUCUACAGUGAAGACAUGCUGUAGUAAGUGCAUGGUAAAUGUUGUGCUGCAGAUGAUGAGCUUUUUCAGAGCCUUUGCUAUUUGACGUUGACAUCUUUACUUCCGAGAGACUCUGCCUCAUGUUACAGACACAGGGUCGUACCCAAACCAACGUUACACCGAUUUUGUAUUAAAUUAUGAAGCUCAAAUACUAAUUUUAAUGCACUAGUUUGCGCUGGAUUAGCUUGCCUGCUGGUACGUUAAUAAGCCUGAUUUUUGAUGCGCUAAAAAUAUUUCCUACAAUGUUGUAAAAUUCAAUUUUACCUAAAGCUAUAUGUUUAUUUAGGAGCAGUGAGAGGUUAUGGAAGUUUCUUUUGCUUGAUUUACGUACAUUAAAUGCACAGAUACAUUAUAUCGACACAUCUAGUUUUGUUUGUUUAUAAUCAGGGACAUUUGUAGAAUUUGUAGGAAAACAUCAGGGGCUCACUUCAAGCUCACGUAAGUGUAAAUUUAGUCCUGGUAUUAAUAUUUUAAAAACUUUUUGUAAGCUUUAUGCUCUAAUUGCUGAACACAUGCAGACAAAAUUUAGUCAGAGAUCUAAUGCCCUGCGUUACCCUGUGAGGGGCGCGCUAAAGACAACUGACAGAUUGGAUUAUGUAUAAAUGUAUGCAUGUACAUGACACACACAUUAAAGACCAGCCUUGGACCCCUUGGUGCUCCAGAGUCUGCUUGACUGUCACAUCAUCUGCUCAAGAAAAAAUUUACCAAUGCCAACUGACCCUGACCAGCUCAAUGUGUUUGUUGUUUCCAUCUUUUCACUUUUUUCCCCUUGGUUUUCAUUCAAGCUAGCGCUGUUUUGUCUUCUUUCUUUUUUUUUCUUUGUGCAGUAUUGUAAAGAGUAGACAUACUGCUGAUAACAUGUCACUUUCCAAUCAUGCCUGAUACAAUACCAUGUUUAGUGUCCUU